rnacentral:rRNA from 1 species
UGCUCCUCGGGUGACGAGUGGCGGACGGGUGAGUAAUGUCUGGGGAUCUGCCCGAUAGAGGGGGAUAACCACUGGAAACGGUGGCUAAUACCGCAUAACGUCGCAAGACCAAAGAGGGGGACCUUCGGGCCUCUCACUAUCGGAUGAACCCAGAUGGGAUUAGCUAGUAGGCGGGGUAACGGCCCACCUAGGCGACGAUCCCUAGCUGGUCUGAGAGGAUGACCAGCCACACUGGAACUGAGACACGGUCCAGACUCCUACGGGAGGCAGCAGUGGGGAAUAUUGCACAAUGGGCGCAAGCCUGAUGCAGCCAUGCCGCGUGUAUGAAGAAGGCCUUCGGGUUGUAAAGUACUUUCAGCGGGGAGGAAGGCAGUGAGGUUAAUAACCUUAUUGAUUGACGUUACCCGCAGAAGAAGCACCGGCUAACUCCGUGCCAGCAGCCGCGGUAAUACGGAGGGUGCAAGCGUUAAUCGGAAUUACUGGGCGUAAAGCGCACGCAGGCGGUCUGUUAAGUCAGAUGUGAAAUCCCCGGGCUUAACCUGGGAACUGCAUUUGAAACUGGCAGGCUUGAGUCUCGUAGAGGGGGGUAGAAUUCCAGGUGUAGCGGUGAAAUGCGUAGAGAUCUGGAGGAAUACCGGUGGCGAAGGCGGCCCCCUGGACGAAGACUGACGCUCAGGUGCGAAAGCGUGG